AGAUGUGAGGGUGUGCUAGCUGUGACAUCUGUCAUCUCACUGAUCCCCAGGGUUGAUUCGGCUGAUAUGGCUGGCUAGGCGGGUGUCCCCUUCUUCCCUCACUGCUCCAUGUGCGUCCCUCCCAAAGUUGCGUGCUCAGUGGAAGAGGACGGCAGUCCCUGAACAGAGAGAAUAGAGAUGGGCCUGCAGUAGGUUGAGGGUAUGCCAGGAGGAAUGCUCCCACACUAGAACCCCCACAAGCUCUCAGACCAUUGAAGUAGAUGUCUCUUAUGAAGCUGAGCAUUCUGCUUGAUCUUUAGUUG
rfam:Erinaceus europaeus unplaced genomic scaffold scaffold00373, whole genome shotgun sequence